GUAUGUUAUUCGGUACAAUUAGUGUUUUUCAGAUUUUGAGUGAUCAUCAAGUUACAAAGACGCCUUGGUAUCGGUUUUAUAGGUUUGAAGGACAGGUUUUUUUCAAUACGGAUUUCUUGCUGUAUUGGGAUGGAAGGUUUAUGGUUUGGCUGAUGUUUACGAGUAAAUUGACGACGACGAAUAGAGGACUUUGGGUAAACCAAAUCUUGACAUAAUUUUCUAAGGGAAAAAAAUAUUUAUGUAUGUACACUAAAGUGCAAUUUCUACAAGUGUUAUUGAUUUUGUAUUUUUUUAAAAAGUUGUCUGAAUAAUCUACAAGUGCUAUGUAGUUGCUGUUGGUUGUAUAA